rnacentral:rRNA from 1 species
GACGAACGCUGGCGGCGUGCCUAAUACAUGCAAGUAGGACGCACAGUUUAUACCGUAGCUUGCUACACCAUAGACUGUGAGUUGCGAACGGGUGAGUAACGCGUAGGUAACCUACCUAUUAGAGGGGGAUAACUAUUGGAAACGAUAGCUAAUACCGCAUAACAGUAUGUAACACAUGUUAGAUGCUUGAAAGAUGCAAUUGCAUCGCUAGUAGAUGGACCUGCGUUGUAUUAGCUAGUAGGUAGGGUAAAGGCCUACCUAGGCAACGAUACAUAGCCGACCUGAGAGGGUGAUCGGCCACACUGGGACUGAGACACGGCCCAGACUCCUACGGGAGGCAGCAGUAGGGAAUCUUCGGCAAGGGGGGAACCCUGACCGAGCAACGCCGCGUGAGUGAAGAAGGCUUUCGGAUCGUAAAGCUCUGUUGUUAGAGGAAGAACGAGUGUGAGAAGGAAAGUUCAUGCUGUGACG